rnacentral:lncRNA from 1 species
GGUUAGGACUUCAAUAGGUGAAUUUGGUGGUGGGAGGGGAACACAAUUCACAAUUCAGCCCAUAACAAUAGGAAUCACAAUACAUACUAGGUGAAAUAGAUGAAAAGAAAUCCACACCCGACACAAUAUAGUAAAGCUGCAGAACACCAAAGACAAAGAGAAGGUCUUCAAAACAAUCCGAGAGAAAAGCCACACCCUGCUUAACAGUGGAGUGGCUCCCCACCCACCAUCUAUAUUUCUUUUUUCUUUUUUCUUUUCUUUCUUUUUUUUUUUUUUUUUUUUUUUUUGAGGUGGAGUCUCACUCUGUUGCCCAGGAUGGCAUGCAAUGGUGCAAUAUGGGCUUACUGCAAC